rnacentral:rRNA from 1 species
AACCCCUGCAUUCAAGUUGCCGAUCGGGUAGAGCCGGGCACUCUGGAAGGACUGCCAUCGACAAGAUGGAGGAAGGUGGGGAUGACGUCAAGUCAUCAUGGCCCUUAUGUCCAGGGCGACACACGUGCUACAAUGGCCGGUACAACGGGCAGCGAAGGAGCGAUCCGGAGCGAAUCCUAAAAAGCCGGUCCCAGUUCGGAUUGCAGGCUGAAACUCGCCUACAUGAAGUUGGAGUUGCUAGUAAUCGCGAAUCAGAAUGUCGCGGUGAAUGCGUUCCCGGGUCUU